UACGGGGGGGUAAGCGUUGUUCGGAAUUACUGGGCGUAAAGGGCUCGUAGGCGGCCAACUAAGUCAGACGUGAAAUCCCUCAGCUUAACUGGGGAACUGCGUCUGAUACUGGAUGGCUUGGAUUCGGGAGAGGAAUGCGGAAUUCCAGGUGUAGCGGUGAAAUGCGUAGAUAUCUGGAGGAACACCGGUGGCGAAGGCGGCAUUCUGGACCGAUAUUGACGCUGAGGAGCGAAAGCCAGGGGAGCAAACGGGG
rnacentral:rRNA from 1 species